UAGAAUUGACGGGGCCCGCACAAGCAGCGAGCGUGUGGUUAAUUCGAUGUUACACGAAGAACCUUACCAGGGUUUGACAUGCAGGUGGUAGUGAAGCGAAAGCGGAACGACUCUUCGGAGAGCCUGCACAGGUGCUGCAUGGCUGUCGUCAGCUCGUGUCGUGAGAUGUUCGGUUAAGUCCGCUAACGAGCGCAACCCCUGCCGUGUGUUACAAGUGUCACACGGGACUGCCGGUCUUAAGCCGGAGGAAGGUGGGAUGACGUCAAGUCAGCAUGGCCUUUAUAUCCUGGGCUACACACACGCUACAAUGGGUGGUACGACAGGUUGCGAAACCGCGAGGUGGAGCCAAUCCUCAAAGCCAUCCUCAGUUCAGAUUGUAGGCUGCAACUCGCCUGCAUGAAGAUGGAGUUGCUAGUAACCGCAGGUCAGCUAUACUGCGGUCGAAUACGUUCCGGGCCUU
rnacentral:rRNA from 1 species